CGGGUGAGUAACACGUGGAUAACCUACCUAUAAGACUGGGAUAACUUCGGGAAACCGGAGCUAAUACCGGAUAAUAUUUUGAACCGCAUGGUUCAAAAGUGAAAGACGGUCUUGCUGUCACUUAUAGAUGGAUCCGCGCUGCAUUAGCUAGUUGGUAAGGUAACGGCUUACCAAGGCAACGAUGCAUAGCCGACCUGAGAGGGUGAUCGGCCACACUGGAACUGAGACACGGUCCAGACUCCUACGGGAGGCAGCAGCC
rnacentral:rRNA from 1 species